rnacentral:rRNA from 1 species
UGGGGAAUAUUGCACAAUGGGGGAAACCCUGAUGCAGCGACGCCGCGUGAGUGAAGAAGUAUUUCGGUAUGUAAAGCUCUAUCAGCAGGGAAGAAAAUGACGGUACCUGACUAAGAAGCCCCGGCUAACUACGUGCCAGCAGCCGCGGUAAUACGUAGGGGGCAAGCGUUAUCCGGAUUUACUGGGUGUAAAGGGAGCGUAGACGGCAUGGCAAGUCUGGAGUGAAAACCCAGGGCUCAACCUUGGGAUUGCUUUGGAAACUGUCAAGCUGGAGUGCCGGAGAGGUAAGCGGAAUUCCUAGUGUAGCGGUGAAAUGCGUAGAUAUUAGGAGGAACACCAGUGGCGAAGGCGGCUUACUGGACGGUAACUGACGUUGAGGCUCGAAAGCGUGGGGAGCAAACA